rnacentral:rRNA from 1 species
GAUGAACGCUGGCGGCGUGCCUAAUACAUGCAAGUCGAGCGAACGGACGAGAAGCUUGCUUUUCUGAUGUUAGCGGCGGACGGGUGAGUAACACGUGGAUAACCUACCUAUAAGACUGGGAUAACUUCGGGAAACCGGAGCUAAUACCGGAUAAUAUUUUGAACCGCAUGGUUCAAAAGUGAAAGACGGUCUUGCUGUCACUUAUAGAUGGAUCCGCGCUGCAUUAGCUAGUUGGUAAGGUAACGGCUUACCAAGGCAACGAUGCAUAGCCGACCUGAGAGGGUGAUCGGCCACACUGGAACUGAGACACGGUCCAGACUCCUACGGGAGGCAGCAGUAGGGAAUCUUCCGCAAUGGGCGAAAGCCUGACGGAGCAACGCCGCGUGAGUGAUGAAGGUCUUCGGAUCGUAAAACUCUGUUAUUAGGGAAGAACAUAUGUGUAAGUAACUGUGCACAUCUUGACGGUACCUAAUCAGAAAGCCACGGCUAACUACGUGCCAGCAGCCGCGGUAAUACGUAGGUGGCAAGCGUUAUCCGGAAUUAUUGGGCGUAAAGCGCGCGUAGCGGUUUUUUAAGUCUGAUGUGAAAGCCCACGGCUCAACCGUGGAGGGUCAUUGGAAACUGGAAAACUUGAGUGCAGAAGAGGAAAGUGGAAUUCCACGUGUAGCGGUGAAAUGCGCAGAGAUAUGGAGGAACACCAGUGGCGAAGGCGACUUUCUGGUCUGUAACUGACGCUGAUGUGCGAAAGCGUGGGGAUCAAACAGGAUUAGAUACCCUGGUAGUCCACGCCGUAAACGAUGAGUGCUAAGUGUUAGGGGGUUUCCGCCCCUUAGUGCUGCAGCUAACGCAUUAAGCACUCCGCCUGGGGAGUACGACCGCAAGGUUGAAACUCAAAGGAAUUGACGGGGACCCGCACAAGCGGUGGAGCAUGUGGUUUAAUUCGAAGCAACGCGAAGAACCUUACCAAAUCUUGACAUCCUUUGACAACUCUAGAGAUAGAGCCUUCCCCUUCGGGGGACAAAGUGACAGGUGGUGCAUGGUUGUCGUCAGCUCGUGUCGUGAGAUGUUGGGUUAAGUCCCGCAACGAGCGCAACCCUUAAGCUUAGUUGCCAUCAUUAAGUUGGGCACUCUAAGUUGACUGCCGGUGACAAACCGGAGGAAGGUGGGGAUGACGUCAAAUCAUCAUGCCCCUUAUGAUUUGGGCUACACACGUGCUACAAUGGACAAUACAAAGGGCAGCGAAACCGCGAGGUCAAGCAAAUCCCAUAAAGUUGUUCUCAGUUCGGAUUGUAGUCUGCAACUCGACUACAUGAAGCUGGAAUCGCUAGUAAUCGUAGAUCAGCAUGCUACGGUGAAUACGUUCCCGGGUCU